rnacentral:rRNA from 1 species
AUUGAACGCUGGCGGCAGGCCUAACACAUGCAAGUCGAACGAGUGGCGGACGGGUGAGUAAUGUCUGGGAAACUGCCCGAUGGAGGGGGAUAAAUACGGGAAACGGUAGCUAAUACCGCAUACCAUCGGAUGUGCCCAGGUGGGAUUAGCUAGUAGGUGGGGUAACGGCUCACCUAGGCGACGAUCCAUAGCGGGUCUGCGAGGGUGACCAGCCACACUGGAACUGAGACACGGCCCAGACUCCUACGUGAGGAAGCAGUGGGGAAUAUUGCACAAUGGGCGCAAGCCUGAUGCAGCCAUGCCGCGUGUAUGAAGAAGGCCUUCGGGUUGUAAAGUACUUUCAUCGAGGAGGCGUUACUCGACGAAGAAGCACCGGCUAACUCCGUGCCAGCAGCCGCGGUAAUAC